GAUGGACGUGUGUCUUUUUUCAACCUUACUUACUAUGUUACUAUGUUACUAUGUAAAAGUAGAAGAUGGCUCUUGUGUAUUAAAAAGGAAAGGUUGACUCCCUAGCAAAGUAUUCCUCAAACAACACCAGUGAUGUUGCUACAGCUUGAACAUUUUAACACUGGAAUAUAAUUAAUGCAAAAGUUUGAUUUCUUUUUUAAAAAUAAAUUGUAUUGUGAUCUGAAAUAAGUUCAUGUGUUAACAGGAUCCCAAAAAAUGUGAGGUAUCCACUACUGUUCUGUAAAAUGGACUGACACAAUAUGAAGAUAAAAAACUGGCUGAUAAAAUAAAAAAGCGAGUAGGAAAUUCCAAGUAUCAAGAUCACUCUACAAGAAUGUGGUUUUACCGAAUUCUCAAGGAACGGAGGAACUGGAAGGCGAAGAAAGCAAAAGCAAACACAAAUUUAAAGUAAAAGAAUUAUACCUGACAGAGCUUCUGUCCACUAAGGUUGCAAUUCAUUCAACUGUAGAAAGGCUGUUACGGAGCAUUUGGACCAUACCAGCCAGCAAGCCACCAAUAGCUGUCAAAUAUUUCUUUGAUUUCAUGGAGACCCAGGCAGAGAGCAAGAAAAUAACCGACCCAGAUGUGUUGCACAUUUGGAAAACUAAUAGCUUACCGCUUCGUUUCUGGGUGAAUAUCCUGCAGAACCCUCAGUUUGUGUCUGGCCUAAAGAAGACACAUCUCUUGGAAAGCUAUCAGUCAUUGCACAGGCAUUCGUGGAUAGCUUUUCCACUACAGAGCAACAACUAGGAAAGGUCCUGGGUAUUUUGGAAAAAGAGCCUGGAUUUGAAGAUGAACAAAAGCAGCUCCUGCAUAUUAAAGCAUUAAUGGGAGAUAAAAAGAAAUGCAUGUGGAACUGAGAGAAAAAAAAGAUUAAGUACAGAAUAAUGAAUUGAGUGGGUUUGCCUAGGCUUACGUGAAAUUAUUUCCAUGGCAUGAUAUAGACAGCCUGUGUUACAUUUUAUCUCCACGGUCCCUAUAUGGGGUUUUACAUUUACCUCAAACGUAGAUAGAUCUCAUUAGGGAUGGACACUCAGUGGAUGCAUGUAUACUUUUUUUUUUUAUAUUUAUGGGCUUAUUUAUCAAAAAUCGAAUUUGUGAGGUUUCAGAGUAUUUUUUCUAUUUCAAACAAACUCACAAUUCAAAAAGCUCGAAAGUCUUAUUUAUUAAACAAUCCAAAUAUAAAAACCCAAUUUAAUACAAUUGAAAAAAACAUGAAUGUGAGUUUACAAGCUCAAAAAAAUAAGAAAAUUACAAAUUAAAAAAAAAACUUGAAUUUUGCCUAGUUCAAUUCCCACUGACGUUUCGCUUUUAGAUACCGAAGUUUUACAUUUGAGUUUUUUGUGCUUAAAUAUCAAAAUUCAAGUUUUUGAGGAUAUAAAUCAAAUUUGUGAGUUUUUGCUCAAAAAUUUUUGAAUCAUGCCAAAAAUUCUAAUUUAAACAUCGAUAAAUCACCCCCAAAAUGUUACCACUUUUAAAAGGAAUUUCUCCCUGAAAAAAAACUGAUGUCCGAGAUACUUUCUACAAAAGCUAUACAGUUUAGCAAGUGGGACCAUUGUUUCAGGACUUUCAGUUGCUUGUAUGUGAACAUCUUUUAACCACAGCACCAAAAUGAUGGCGAGUCCUAACUGCUAUUUACAAAUAUGUAGGUGAAUGAGGUUCUAGUAAACUAUCAUUUGUACUUAAUAUAUUUAUAGAGAACGCAAGUUAAAUGACUAUACCUUGGUCAAACAUUUUUUAAAUCUGUAUGUAUAAAUAACUUUUUUAAAUUUAAUUUUAUAUAGUCUAAAUAAAACUACAUUGGAGUGGAUUACAUUCUGUUAUUUUAAGUAUUGAUACGGACAGAUCAUUGACUGUAAAGAUCUCUGUGAAACUAUGCCCCAAUACCAAAUGUUGGUAAGAAAUAGAGGUUUCAUAAACUGCAAACAUUUGUAGGAGAGAAAGGCCCUAUAUUAACGGACGGGGUGAAACUAGAACUUGUAUGUAAUACAUGUAUAGUAUAAUAUGUUGUUAGGGAUUCAUUUAUUGAAGGGAUCCCAUAUCAGUGAACAGAGAGUAGCAGAAUAUCACAUUGGCUCUGGUUUCAUUAAAGUGUAGGGAUUCCAAUGCAAUACAAAUGUUUUUUUAAAAUGAUUUUUUAAGUUUUAUUAUUUUCACAUAAUGUGCUGAGUAUUUAGAAUUACAUAAAUAUAACAAAGAACGAAA